rnacentral:rRNA from 1 species
GAUGAACGCUAGCGGAAGGCUUAAUACAUGCAAGUCGAGGGGCAGCAUUAUUGACAUUAGUUGAUAGAUGGCGACCGGCGCACGGGUGAGUAACGCGUACACUACCUACCUUUCACUACGGGAUAGUAUUGGGAAACUGAUAGUAAUACCGUAUGGUCCACUUCGGUGGUAAAGAGUUAUCGGUGGAAGAUGGGUGUGCGUUAGAUUAGCUAGUUGGUAAGGUAACGGCUUACCAAGGCGACGAUCUAUAGGGGGCGUGAGAGCGUGAUCCCCCACACGGGUACUGAGACACGGACCCGACUCCUACGGGAGGCAGCAGUAAGGAAUAUUGGACAAUGGGCGGAAGCCUGAUCCAGCCAUUCCGCGUGGAGGAAGACGGCCUUAUGGGUUGUAAACUCCUUUUAUCAGGGAAGAAACCCCGAGAUGUAUCUUGGGCUGACGGUACCUGAAGAAUAAGCACCGGCUAACUCCG